CCAGACUCCUACGGGAGGCAGCAGUGAGGAAUAUUGGUCAAUGGGCGGGAGCCUGAACCAGCCAAGUCGCGUGAGGGAAGACGGUCCUACGGAUUGUAAACCUCUUUUGCCGGGGAGCAACGGGGUCCUUGCGAGGGCCCGAUGAGAGUACCCGGAGAAAAAGCAUCGGCUAACUCCGUGCCAGCAGCCGCGGUAAUACGGAGGAUGCGAGCGUUACCCGGAUUUAUUGGGUUUAAAGGGUGCGCGGGCGGGAUGCGAAGUCGGCGGUCAAAGGCGGGGGCACACCCCCGGCCCGCCGUUGAAACUGGCAGUCUCGAGUUGGAGAGAAGUAUGCGGAAUGCGCGGUGUAGCGGUGAAAUGCAUAGAUAUCGCGCAGAACUCCGAUUGCGAAGGCAGCAUGCCGGCUCCACACUGACGCUGAGGCACGAAAGCGUGGGUAUCGAACAGGAUUAGAUACCCUUGUA
rnacentral:rRNA from 1 species